UGAGAAGAAGUAAGAAUUGUAAAUUUUUACUAUAAUUUAUAUCCGCCGCAUUGUGCGGGUUGUUACACUAGUUUAUUUUAACUAACAAUACGCAGUGCAGUUGACUAUAAGAGAUUGAUAACUGAUACGCGAGAUCUCAAAUUCCAAACUUAAUUGCUUCAUAUUUUAGGUUGAGUUUAUUUUUUAAAAAAUAAACAAAAUAGAUAGCUCACUACUUUUCUCUCAGAACAAAAAGCUAUUUAUUUUACAUGUGCAUCAAAUAUUGUGUUAAAGAACUAUAGUCUAAACUCUUGAGUAAGGGCUUUUUUUGCAUUUAGUCUCAUGACAAAUUUUUAUUUUAAAAAUAGCCAUGUCAAAAUUUAAUUUGCAAAAAUGGCCCUGGGCUUGCCACGCAGGCGCCACGUUAGCGCCACGCGGGCGGGACCAAGGCCAAUGUGUUAAGUUAAAUACGGUGAACCAUUCACCUUGUUUAGACACGGUGAAUGGUUCACCGUGUUUAGUAUGUAUAUUUUGUAUAUUGAAGAAAGAGGAAUAUAGAAUAGGGAUGUCAAUAGGUAUGGAUAUCCGAAAUAUUAUCCGAAUACAAAUCCGAAUAAAUUAUAUAUA
rnacentral:lncRNA from 1 species